AAUAUUUUUCAAGUGAUCAACCCUGGGAAGACUGGCCAGCCCAGGGACCUGAGGGAUAGUCUUGUAGAGCCGAUCCCGGGUUCGAACCCACCCGAAGAAGAGGGACCCUCAAAUAAAACAAACUGAUCACUCCCUUUUAUUUUCCCAAGCAUGUUGGGGCACGGAUUCGAACACAUCACUCCUUCACAAACCCAUCAAUAAUACAUUCUUGAGAUGAAGGCUGGAGGUGGCUCUUGCGUCCUCAUCACUGGGGGAGGGCGCUGGACCUUGCGAGGCGUGGUGGAAACAUCACGAUUGUGGAUUUGUCAUGUGAGAAUGGGCUGUGAACCCUGAGCUUGGUAAGAGAGCCGACGAAUCCGAAUCCUCCCUUUGCCAUCUUUGUUGAGUGUGAUCUCUGCGAUCUGGGUGAGAGAGAUACUUCAGCAUCGGUUUGUUAGAUAUUUUCCUCCUGUAGAGCAAGUGUGGAACUUCUGUAGCUACCUAGGCACUGGCUCCAGCGGCUUUACGUGAACUUUGCAAGCCGCGAGGAACAAAGCCCAAGAGAUGUGAUCUGGAAAGAAUCUUGUUGCGCGAGUGAGCAA